rnacentral:rRNA from 1 species
CGGCAGGCUUAACACAUGCAAGUCGAACGAUGAAACUCUAGCUUGCUAGAGAUGAUUAGUGGCGGACGGGUGAGUAACAUUUAGGAAUCUGCYUAGUAGUGGGGGAUAGCUCGGGGAAACUCGAAUUAAUACCGCMUACGACCUACGGGUGAAAGGGGGCGCAMGCUCUUGYUAUUARAUGAGCYUAAWUCAGAUWAGCUAGUUGGUGGGGUAAAGGCCCACCAAGGSGACGAUCUGUAACUGGUYUGAGAGGAUGAUCAGUCACACCGGAACURAGACACGGYCCGGACUCCUACGGGAGGCAGCAGUGGGGAAUAUUGGMCAAUGGGGGCAACCYUGAUCCASCCAUGCSGCGKGKGUGAAGAAGGCCUUUUGGUUGUAAAGCACUUUAAGCAGGGAGGAGAGGCUAAUGGUUAAUACCCAUUAGAUUAGACGUUAC